CAUCAAGUGAAAUGUUUUGGCCUAAGGUCAGUGAGACGCUAGUCGCUACUCUUCUAUACGCUAUGCCCUUUUUCAAUAUGAAAACGGUGUCGUGUUCUGACUGCAGGCAACUGAGUGUUAAUGGAAACAGACGACGCUGAGCUGGGGCCGGACGCAGCAGGCGACGGACGCUGUAGUGUGCUGGGCAAAAUAGUCCAAGAUGCUGGUAGCGGGUGAAAUACGCAGCUGCUCGUCGUCUCCAAGAGCGCCGCGGACGCCGUGGACUGCGCCAUCAAAGUCGACGGAAAGUCGGUUCCAGCAGCCGACCGUCUCAAACUACUCGGAGCUGUUGUGUUCGGGUAUAGGGGGUGUAGACUUGGACCGCCUCUGCGGCCCCACCUCUGUGCGCCUGGGAGCGCCCCUGCCGGCGCUCAGCUGUCCGUGCGCGCCAAGCGGCGUGAGUGGCGCACGGGACGAAAACUGACGCUCGCCAUACUUGUUUAGUUUUUGGAAGACUCUCUCGGCCCAUUCGCACCGGCAGUAAAUAAAUCGCGUUUCUCUUAAGCUCUCUCUCACUCGAACCGUGAAUUACGAAC
rnacentral:misc_RNA from 1 species